rnacentral:rRNA from 1 species
UACGUAGGGUGCGAGCGUUGUCCGGAAUUACUGGGUGUAAGGAGCUCGUAGGUGGUUUGUCGCGUUGUUCGUGAAAACCGGGGGCUUAACCCUCGGCGUGCGGGCGAUACGGGCAGACUUGAGUACUGCAGGGGAGACUGGAAUUCCUGGUGUAGCGGUGGAAUGCGCAGAUAUCAGGAGGAACACCGGUGGCGAAGGCGGGUCUCUGGGCAGUAACUGACGCUGAGGAGCGAAAGCGUGGGGAGCGAACAGG